GUGGAAGCAUUCUCCACAAUGCAUUUUUUCAUGCCAGAGAAAAAUCUAGAAAAAAAUGAAUAAAACGAAGAAAUUCUUUCCCCUUGGUAUCUGUAGCUAACUUGCCUAAGUGUUCUUUCCCACAGUUUAAGUCUUCAGUCCAUAGUUCAUAAGCAAAGGGGUGUAGCGAGCUCUGAUCUUGCCAGAAGAGAGAAUAAGUGAGCUACCCCACGGUGGACAUUCUGGCCAUCUGAAAUGAGUCGAUGCAUGUGGCUUUUGUCUAAAGGCUACAAAUAAAAUGUAACCACUUUCUUCUUUGAGUAGUUGAUAUAGCAAAUAGUUGAAACAGAAGUUUUGAUUGGCAAAUCAGGAUGUGGUAGAUACUUUAACAAAGAGUAGAACUAUUACCAGUUUUAUGUGUUGCUGUUUGUAUCUCUUUCACAGUUUUGAUAAUAUCACAUCCUGGAAAGUGAAACAGAAAAUUAUUAUUCCAUUUUAAAUGACUAAAUUUGCUUUCAUGGUAUUUACAGUGAAAGAGUAAAUUAGAAAGUGAAUGGAUGACUGUUCAUGAGAAAAAGCAGGGUAAAAAGAUUUUAUUUAAUUAAUUGAAAAUAUUAGGGUCAAAACAUAGGCUUAUGUUAUGUUUUGUGAAUUGUGCUGUGUUGUAGACAUUUGAUGAGUCCUAACAUAGAAUUGAUCUAGCUCUUGAAAUACCAUUUUUGAUUGAGUAUAAAUGGGAUAUAGGCACCUUACAACUUCAGAAUUCGAGGAAGAUGAUGUGAAUCUUCCAAUUUUAUCUAUUUGAUUCAAAUGGUAUGUUUUUUCACAUUUCUCAUAAUUUCCACGUCAACUCCCAUGAUGAUCAUGCAGGAAAGCAGCAUGAUUGCACUUCUUGUAGUGCAUACCAUCACUAAAACAUAGUUACUGUCUUUCUGUGGUCUUAAGAAAAAUUCAGAAACAGCAUACCAAUGUACAUAUAAGAUAAAUAAGCUUAUGUGGUACAGUAAGUGUUCUGUUCUGAGAAAUACCUUGAUUCGUAUCCUAAUGUCUGAUGUUAUUGGUAGUUCUCAAACUUCCCCAAUUCUGCUUUCAUCUAAAUUCAUCUUAUCUAUCUAUUGUUAAAUAAUCUAUCAGUCCAUUUUUAUCUAUCAUCUAUAUAUCUGUCUUUAUCAAUCAUUCGUCUGUAAUCUAUCUGUGCCGUUUGGCAUAAGAGACAGAAGGGCAUAGCAGUGGAAACUCAAAGGAGUUACCUCCAUGUGAAUGGACAGUGGUGAUGGUGAUCUGUGAGGUGGUGAUGUAUAGAAAGAAAAACUAGAAGAGAGCAUGCCCUAACUCAGGGACCUUGUCCAGCAGGCACUCUGGCCUUGUUAUACUGUGCUUGAAUAUGAAAAAAAAAAAAAUCAAAAUAGUGCUGACAUUCUUUGUCUUCUGGGUCUGAGAAAACUUAGAGUAGAUAUGAUGACUCUGCCAUUUCAGUCUUUUGUAUUUCCACAUUUAGAGCUCAGUUUUAAUUAUGUAGAAUUAUUUCUCCAGCCUGUGUUAAACUAGACCAUGGAUUGGCAAACUUUUUUUGUAAAUUGCCAAAUACACAUUUUCAGUUCUGAAAGCCUUGUGGUCUUUGUUGCAGCUAAUCUACUCUGCUGUUGUGUUAUGAAAGCAGCCAUAGGUAAUUUAUAAUUGAAUGAGUGCGCUGUGCCUUUCUUCCAAUAAAACUUUACAAAAGCAUCCUGUGGGCUGGAGUUUACCCUUUGGGAAACCAGAGCAUUGGCUAAACUGGAACCUGAAAAAAUAAUCACAUCAACUCAGCCACAUGGUAAUAAUAUUUAGAGUAUUAUUUCAACAUUUUCAUUUUCAUAAAAAUUUUUUUAGCUCUUUUGCCAAAUUCCAUCUGUGAGUGAUACAAAUGACUACCACGUGCCAUUAACAUCACCUAAACAGUGCAAAACAAGCAUAGUAGAAGUAAUUGGAAUGAUAUAAACCCCUUGCUGUAAUAGUUAUAGUUGAUAAAUUAUGUUUCAAAAUUGAACCUAUUUCUUCCAAAUUUCAUCUAUAAAGUUCCAAGGAGUUCCAAAAUCUUGCCUGCCUUCUUUUCCCAGUUAGCAGUAUUGUCUCUGAGCAGCCAUGGUGGUAUCCAUCCUCCUUGGACAAUGAAUUUAGCCUAUUUUGACUUCAUUUGAGCAGUUGUAAUUGUUUCACCACAUCAGAGUAAGAUUACUACAUGCCAGAGCUAUUCUUUAACUCAGCUUGUAAAAACAUGAUAGCAUCAACAAUAUACAUAGCAAAUGAAUGCCAUCUUUAAUCCAAUUAAAUGGUUUUUACAAAUUUGCUCUUGUUUGUUGAUGCUAUCUGCAUUGCAGUAAUUAAAGGUGAGGUAAAAAGAAUGAAUAAACUGCCAAGUUAAAAUUAAAUUUGGGCAAUUUCUCUUUUGCAGUAAUGUAUGUAUAUUUACUCAAAACAUAUGCCAAAUUUAGUGUUGAAAGGCUCAUUCAAAUCAAUUGGGAAAGCACGUAAAUGAACAAUUCAUAAAAGAAAAGCAUUGCAAAUGGCCAAGAGCAUAGAAAAUGUGCUCAAUCUUACCAGUCAUUAUAAGGAAAUAAUGAAAUUUGUGUAUAUAUGAAAUACUUAAAAUAUAUAUAAAAUAAAACAAUUAUUUGCCUUUUUUCACCUAUCAGAUUAACAGAUUAUAUGUGUUAACAAGGUGGGGAGAAUUUACAACUCCUGAUAUGUUAAAAUCUUUCAGGAAGGUAGUAGAAAAUAUAUGUAAGAUGGAAAUUAGCACUUUUGACCAACAAUUUUAGUUUUAGAUAUUUACCUAUAAGGAUAUAAUAGGAGGUGUUCAAAGAUGCAUGUAACUCAAUGUAGUAUUAAUUAUAAUUGUAAAAUAGUAAAUAACAUUUUUGUCAAAUCAUAAUGUUAGGAAAAUUAGUGAUGGCACAUUUAACCAAUUGAAUUAUAUUCAGUUCUGAAUACCGUGAUGCAUGUUCAAAUUAAUUGAUACAAAAAUCCAACAACUUUAGCAGUUUGUUUACCAGUUAUUGAGUACCAACUGUGUUCAACAUUGUUAUUUCACUCAUAUGAAAUGAUAAAUGUAUGUGCGUGUUAUGAUACGGUCAAUAAAACCACUUUUAUAGGAAGAAUACUCACAAAA
rnacentral:lncRNA from 1 species